rnacentral:sRNA from 1 species
GGCCGCUGGGGCCGGAGGGCGCGGCGCGGGGACGCGGCGGCCUGGCCAGGCGAGGCGGGAGCCGAGCAGGCCGGAGCGAGCCGCGCGCCGGGGAGGGUCGCGCCGCGCCCGCCCCCUCCCCGCCACGCCCGGGGCGCACGCGCGCUCCUCUGGCCGCCCCUCCCUCCGCGCGGGGACCCCUGGCGGGCCGCAGGAGGACAUGGCCAGCGACGCCGUGCAGAGUGAGCCUCGCAGCUGGUCCCUGCUAGAGCAGCUGGGCCUGGCCGGGGCAGACCUGGCAGCCCCCGGGGUACAGCAGCAGCUGGAGCUGGAGCGGGAGCGGCUGCGGCGGGAAAUCCGCAAGGAGCUGAAGCUGAAGGAGGGUGCUGAGAACCUGCGGCGGGCCACCACUGACCUGGGCCGCAGCCUGGGCCCCGUGGAGCUGCUGCUGCGGGGCUCCUCGCGCCGCCUCGACCUGCUGCACCAGCAGCUGCAGGAGCUGCACGCCCACGUGGUGCUUCCCGACCCGGCGGCCGCCCACGAUGGCCCCCAGUCCCCUGGUGCGGGUGGCCCCACCUGCUCGGCCACCAACCUGAGCCGCGUGGCAGGCCUGGAGAAGCAGUUGGCCAUUGAGCUGAAGGUGAAGCAGGGGGCGGAGAACAUGAUCCAGACCUACAGCAAUGGCAGCACCAAGGACCGGAAGCUGCUGCUGACAGCCCAGCAGAUGUUGCAGGACAGUAAGACCAAGAUUGACAUCAUCCGCAUGCAACUCCGCCGGGCGCUGCAGGCCGGCCAGCUGGAGAACCAGGCAGCCCCGGAUGACACCCAAGGGAGUCCUGACCUGGGGGCUGUGGAGCUGCGCAUCGAAGAGCUGCGGCACCACUUCCGAGUGGAGCACGCGGUGGCCGAGGGUGCCAAGAACGUACUGCGCCUGCUCAGCGCUGCCAAGGCCCCGGACCGCAAGGCAGUCACUGAGGCCCAGGAGAAAUUGACAGAAUCCAACCAGAAGCUGGGGCUGCUGCGGGAGGCUCUGGAGCGGAGACUUGGGGAGCUGCCCGCCGACCACCCCAAGGGGCGGCUGCUGCGAGAAGAGCUCGCUGCCGCCUCGUCCGCUGCUUUCAGCACCCGCCUGGCCGGGCCCUUUCCCGCCACGCACUACAGCACCCUGUGCAAGCCCGCGCCGCUCACAGGGACCCUGGAGGUACGAGUGGUGGGCUGCAGAGACCUCCCAGAGACCAUCCCCUGGAACCCUACGCCCUCAAUGGGGGGACCUGGGACCCCAGACAGCCGCCCCCCCUUCCUGAGCCGCCCAGCCCGGGGCCUUUACAGCCGAAGCGGAAGCCUCAGUGGCCGGAGCAGCCUCAAAGCAGAAGCCGAGAACACCAGUGAAGUCAGCACUGUGCUUAAGCUGGAUAACACAGUGGUGGGGCAGACGUCUUGGAAGCCAUGUGGCCCCAAUGCCUGGGACCAGAGCUUCACUCUGGAGCUGGAGAGGGCACGGGAACUGGAGUUGGCUGUGUUCUGGCGGGACCAGCGGGGCCUGUGUGCCCUCAAAUUCCUGAAGUUGGAGGAUUUCUUGGACAAUGAGAGGCAUGAGGUGCAGCUGGACAUGGAACCCCAGGGCUGCCUGGUGGCUGAGGUCACCUUCCGCAACCCUGUCAUUGAGAGGAUUCCUCGGCUCCGACGGCAGAAGAAAAUUUUCUCCAAGCAGCAAGGGAAGGCGUUCCAGCGUGCUAGGCAGAUGAACAUCGAUGUCGCCACGUGGGUGCGGCUGCUCCGGAGGCUCAUCCCCAAUGCCACGGGCACAGGCACCUUCAGCCCUGGGGCUUCUCCAGGAUCCGAGGCCCGGACCACGGGUGACAUAUCGGUGGAGAAGCUGAACCUCGGCACUGACUCGGACAGCUCACCUCAGAAGAGCUCGCGGGAUCCUCCUUCCAGCCCAUCGAGCCUGAGCUCCCCCAUCCAGGAAUCCACCGCUCCCGAGCUGCCUUCGGAGACCCGGGAGACCCCAGGCCCCGCCCUGUGCAGGUGACACCACUCCCUGGCCCCCUGUCCACCACCCCUGCCCGCUGUCCUUGUUCUCACCAGUGGCCUCUCUCCACAGCCCUCUGAGGAAGUCACCUCUGACCCUCGAAGAUUUCAAGUUCCUGGCGGUGCUGGGCCGGGGUCAUUUUGGGAAGGUGCUCCUCUCCGAAUUCCGGCCCAGUGGGGAGCUGUUCGCCAUCAAGGCUCUGAAGAAAGGGGACAUUGUGGCCCGAGACGAGGUGGAGAGCCUGAUGUGUGAGAAGCGGAUAUUGGCGGCAGUGACCAGUGCGGGACACCCCUUCCUGGUGAACCUUUUCGGCUGUUUCCAGACACCGGAGCACGUGUGCUUCGUGAUGGAGUACUCGGCCGGUGGGGACCUGAUGCUGCACAUCCACAGCGACGUGUUCUCUGAGCCCCGUGCCAUGUGAGCCUGGACCCCAGCCCGGGCCCCUGCCUCCCCCUACACCAUCUGACACUUAGUCCCCCCGAGAGGCUGGCAGCCUGCUUCUCACCCCUCCACCCUCAGGCCUUGCUUCCCUCAGCCUCCCAGAGCUUUGGGGAGACUGGGGGGCUUUUGAGGAUGUGGAAGCCCGGCUUAUGUGACCCUCCCUCCUUGCAGGGUGGCCCCACCCCUCUCAGCAGCCUCUCUCUCUCUGCAGCUUUUAUUCCGCCUGCGUGGUGCUGGGCCUACAGUUUCUUCACGAACACAAGAUCGUCUACAGGUGUGUGCGUGUGUGCAUGCAUGUGCACACUGCCCGUUGUGGGGACAGGGCCCAGACCCCCGCUCAUCCCUCUUUCCAUCCCUCCAACCCCCAACAGGGACCUGAAGUUGGACAAUUUGCUCCUGGACACCGAGGGCUACGUCAAGAUCGCAGACUUUGGCCUCUGCAAGGAGGGGAUGGGCUAUGGGGACCGGACCAGCACAUUCUGUGGGACCCCGGAGUUCCUGGCCCCUGAGGUGCUGACGGACACGUCGUACACGCGGGCUGUGGACUGGUGGGGACUGGGCGUGCUGCUCUACGAGAUGCUGGUUGGCGAGUCCCCAUUCCCAGGGGACGACGAGGAGGAGGUCUUCGACAGCAUCGUCAACGACGAGGUUCGCUACCCCCGCUUCCUGUCGGCCGAAGCCAUCGGCAUCAUGAGAAGGCUGCUUCGGAGGAACCCAGAGCGGAGGCUGGGAUCUAGCGAGAGAGAUGCAGAAGAUGUGAAGAAACAGCCCUUCUUCAGGACUCUGGGCUGGGAAGCCCUGUUGGCCCGGCGCCUGCCACCGCCCUUUGUGCCCACGGUGUCCGGCCGCACCGACGUCAGCAACUUCGACGAGGAGUUCACCGGGGAGGCCCCCACACUGAGCCCGCCCCGCGACGCGCGGCCCCUCACAGCCGCGGAGCAGGCAGCCUUCCUGGACUUCGACUUCGUGGCCGGGGGCUGCUAGCCCCCUCCCCUGCCCCUGCCCCUGCCCCUGCCCGAGAGCUCUUAGUUUUUAAAAAGGCCUUUGGGAUUUGCCGGAUCCUUGCA